AACACAAAUGCUCAGUGUUUCUCUUUCUCUCUCUCUCUCUCUCUGUACCUUUUAGAGGAUCUCCCCUGUUUCAGCUUCAUUACUCGCAGUCUGUGUUAGAGAUGAUAUAUGUGAUAUAGACGUCUCUCUUACUGAAGUAAUUAUUAUUGUGUUGUUUUGUUUUGUUUCUGUCUAACACAGUGACACAGGUGAUAAUAAAGGUCUCAUCUGCGGUGUUCACAUUUCAUUUACAGUAGCGGACGUCUCAGGGUGGGGGGGCAUCAGGUGGGGGUGCAUCUGUCCUCAGCCAGCCGUCUCACUUCCUGUGGUGAUGUCAUCAGUUCAGGAGUGUGUGUUUGUGUAUAAAUGACACUCAGAUGUUUGUUUGUCAGUAAGUGAUGGUGGUUUUCAUUCACUCAUUUGUUUGGUGUGAAGCAGCGCGAGGGCGUGUCCUCGUGGGAAGUCGCCGAACUGGACGGUUUUCAUUUGCAUAUUAGAUCACAUGCGUGGAUUGAACACAGAAAUUCACCACAAGCUCUACUGCUACGUAAAGAGUUUCAACAAACCAUCAUGAGAAAUCCUUCACCUUGAAUGAUGUCAUUAAUGGUCGGUUCUAGGGGGGCCAGAGCCCCUGUUUUACUACAACCGAGCAAUUUCGGGUGCAAUGCACAGUUUGUCCUGCGAGUGGCAGUAAUGAUGCUUGUGAGCCAGAAGGAAGAUUACGCAAGCAAGACGCAAACAAUGUCGAGUCUGUGCGUCUUAAGCGAGAUUACGUCUACAUCAUACAGUUAAAAUGAAGAUAAAAAAUCCUAAGGACAUAAUGUCCUUUUUAAUAAGAAAACUAAAGAUAAUAGUCAGUCGAGGCUGGAGAAAGAAGAUGCUUCUGAAAAAGAGUGAGAAAUGCACAAAAGCUUAGAGAAUGAACUGAAGAAAGUCCAGAAGACCAGAGGACCCAUCAGCAAGGUGAUUUAGUUGUGCAGAGAGACAACUUUUGUAACCCUGAAAUUCCAUGUGAAAAACAGGAGUUUUUACAUGAGUAUUUAGUUAACAUGGCAUUCACAUGAAAGUGUGCCGAAACCACAUAUAUCACAUGUGAACAUUUUGAAAUUUAUGUUUUUUUCUUUGUGUAAAUGAAAUACCUGAUAAUGUGACUCAUGUUUAGAUGACUGCUUAAGUUGAUUUUUGGAUAUCUUGGUUGUGGGUAGUUUUUCAUUCAUGUAUGUACAUUUGAGAUGCAGAAAAGUGCCUAAAUGUUAUUGUUGUUGUCAUUGUUAUUUUGACUAUAUACAAUGUGUUGUGAAAUAAAUGACCAUGGAACAUUAAUUUGAGCUGAACUUGUUUUAUUAGCUUAUUAGUUUACUUCUAGAGAAAACAGUAAUACAUGACAGUGAAAAAUGACUGAAAAUUAAUCAUGACACAUGUUAGUGUGCCCCCUAAAAG